UUUUUUUUCAAUUUAAAUUCAAUUAAUUAUUGAAUUUACAAUAAUAUACAAUAAUAUAAUGUAUUAUUAGUUUCAGAGGUACAGUUCUGUGACUCAUCAGUCGUGAUAAUAUACAGUGCUAUUAUAUCAUGAGAGCAACACAUUUAUAAGACAUGUGGUUACAUUUUUUUCAAAUUUUAUUAUUUUUUAAUAUAUUUUUGUUUCAGGGUUUUAUUUAAAUUCCAGUUAACAUACAGUAUAAUAUUAAUUCCAGGUGUAGAAUUUAGUGGUUCAUCACUUAUAUAUAACACCUGGUGCUCAUUACAAUGAGCUUCUUAAUACCCAUCAUCUGCCCACCUUCACUCCAGUAACCCUUAGUUUGUUCCCUAUAGUCUGUUUUAUGGUUUAUCUCUUUUUUUCCCCCUGUGUUCACCUGUUUCAUUUUUAAAAUUCCACAUGGGUAUAUGAGUAAUGGUAAAUCCUAGUAGAGCAACUGCUGGGUCAUACGGUAGCUCUAUUUUAACUUUUUGCGUUUAAGUUCUCCAUACUGUUGUCUAGAGUGGCUGCACCAGUUUGCAUUCCCACCAACAGUAUAAGAGGGUUCCCUUUACUCUGCACCCUCACUAACAUCUAUUCUUUCCUGAGUUGCUAAUUUUAGCCAUUCUGACAGGUAUGGGGUGAUAUCUCAUUGUAAUUUUGAAAAUGAGCACUUUGAUGAGGGAAGGAAGAUAUAAUGGGAUGGGUUUUAGGUAGAAGAGGUGGAGUGGUUUUGGAGUCUAUGUCUGCUCUGGGCCUGAAAGAAGGAAAGAAAGAAUAGGUAUUUAUGGGCUUCCUAUGAGAUGUUAGAUUCUAUUCUAGGUAGCUUUGACCAUGACAGUUUCAUUAAGCCUUCCCAACAGCACCAGCGAUGGUGGUUAGAUAUUGCUAUUUUGUGUUCCUAGAUGUUUAGUAACUUUCCUAAGGUUCCCCCAGCUCAUAAGGGGUAGAGAUGGGAUCAGAUCCUAGGGAGCUGUGCAAGAGUGAACACAUUGAGAUGGAGUCGAGGGUUUCCCAGGGCAGAGGAGGUGGUGUGCAAGGCACAGGUGAGUGGAAGUGUCCAGGCAUAAUCAGGAAAUAGUCUAAUUCUCCUAAUGAGUUAACUAAGAUCCAAGGAGGUACAAUCACUUGCCCCAAUGGAAAAAUGUACAUGAUUAAAUAAGACAAUGCCUGUGAAGGUACGGGGCAGCAGCUGGUUCUCUGGGAAUUCAUUCAAUGUUACUUCUUUUCCUUUGUCCUCAAGUCAUUCAGUACAGGUCUUAAAUCCAAAUGAAACCCGAAAGGAAUUCCUUCUUAUACUGAAUGCUGUGGAGGGGGUGCUUAAUCCUGAGCUGUGGGCUGGAAAACCUGCUACUAGGUCCAGUAGUGAGCCGUGGGCCCAGGACACUGCCUAUGGGCAGGAAAGGAGCAGGUGGGGGAGGAGGUGUAGGCAAAGUGAAAGCGGAAGAGCUUACUAGGUGAGCCUCGAUGACAGUGAAUUAAGGGCGUUCCAAGCAUAAAGAAGCAAGGAGAAAAGGCAAGAAGCCAAAGACUACUACAAAGUUAGAGCUUAAAGUACCACAAAGGAAGAAGGGGGGUGCAGCUGGGAAACUAGACAGGAAUCAGGUUCUGGAGAGCUUCCUGUCCCUGGCCAGAGACCCUAGUUUGUCCAGUGGUAAUGGGAGACCGUCAGAGGCCCUUAAGCUGGACCAGCUAAGAACCUGAAUUUUCAUUUUCUUAUUCACUGGGAUAAAUCGUACUCCUGUUUGUGACAGCCACUCCUAAGAUGAGCCCUACUGAUGCCUGCCUCCUAGCAUUCACAGAGCCCCAGUAAUCCUAGGCCACAGUGCAUCAGGCCUGGGGUGUGUGACCAUAGAGGUGGCAGAAAAGAGCUCGAGCUGCUCCCCCCUGAGGUGAAAGUAUAAAGCCCCUGUGGCUUCUUGUUGGUCUCUUUCUCUCUCCCUCAGAUCCUUUGCUCUGGAGGAAGCCAGCAGCCCCUUUGGAGGCCCACUAAAGCUGCCCACAACCCUGACAGUGAGCCUGGAGGCAGGUCCUCAAGCCUAGUCAAGCUUUCAAGGGAUAGACUCAGGUGACAUCUCUCCUGCAAUCUGAGACAUCCUCAAUCAGAACCACCUCGCCAAGCCGCUCCCAGAUUCCUGACCCUUAGGAACUGUGUAAAACAGUAAAUGAUUGCUGUUUAACGCCAAGCCUGAGGGUCAUUUUCUGGGCAGCGAGAUACUGAUAGCACUGCUUCCAGAUGAAGAACUGCAUCCAGACAGGUGAAGUAACCCAGGCAAGGCCACACAGCUCAGCAACUAUUGGACCCUCAUUUUGCUCCCAGAUGUUUGACUUCAGACCUGCUCUUUCCCCUACAGCAUGCAGUUUCUGUGUUUCUUAUCACGUUAUAAACACAAUUAUUGCAAAGGGAACUUACUAGGAAUUUCUUAAGUUCCUGCUCUGUGCCAGAAACUGAGCAAUGCAGUGAGUGGCAUACCCUUGUAAGAUUCAAGAGGAACUAAGCAUUGCCCUAUUUUUCUUAUUAGAAAGAAAUAGAUAUGGGGGCACCUGGGUGGCUGGGUCGGUUAAGCAUAUGCUUUCAGCUCAGAUCAUGAUCCAGGAGUCCUGGGAUCCAGCCCCACAUCAGGCUCCCUGCUCCGUGGGGAGCCUGCUUCUUCUUUUCCCCUCUCCCUCUGCCUGUAGCUCCCUUUGCUUAUGCAUUCUUUCUCUCUCUAUCAAAUAAAUAAAUAAAAUCUUAAAAAAAAAAAAAAAAAAAAAA
rnacentral:lncRNA from 1 species